GUGCCUAAUACAUGCAAGUCGAGCGAACAGACGAGGAGCUUGCUCCUCUGACGUUAGCGGCGGACGGGUGAGUAACACGUGGAUAACCUACCUAUAAGACUGGGAUAACUUCGGGAAACCGGAGCUAAUACCGGAUAAUAUAUUGAACCGCAUGGUUCAAUAGUGAAAGACGGUUUUGCUGUCACUUAUAGAUGGAUCCGCGCCGCAUUAGCUAGUUGGUAAGGUAACGGCUUACCAAGGCAACGAUGCGUAGCCGACCUGAGAGGGUGAUCGGCCACACUGGAACUGAGACACGGUCCAGACUCCUACGGGAGGCAGCAGUAGGGAAUCUUCCGCAAUGGGCGAAAGCUUGACGGAGCAACGCCGCGUGAGUGAUGAAGGUCUUCGGAUCGUAAAACUCUGUUAUUAGGGAAGAACAAAUGUGUAAGUAACUAUGCACGUCUUGACGGUACCUAAUCAGAAAGCCACGGCUAACUACGUGCCAGCAGCCGCGGUAAUACGUAGGUGGCAAGCGUUAUCCGGAAUUAUUGGGCGUAAAGCGCGCGUAGGCGGUUUUUUAAGUCUGAUGUGAAAGCCCACGGCUCAACCGUGGAGGGUCAUUGGAAACUGGAAAACUUGAGUGCAGAAGAGGAAAGUGGAAUUCCAUGUGUAGCGGUGAAAUGCGCAGAGAUAUGGAGGAACACCAGUGGCGAAGGCGACUUUCUGGUCUGUAACUGACGCUGAUGUGCGAAAGCGUGGGGAUCAAACAGGAUUAGAUACCCUGGUAGUCCACGCCGUAAACGAUGAGUGCUAAGUGUUAGGGGGUUUCCGCCCCUUAGUGCUGCAGCUAACGCAUUAAGCACUUCGCCUGGGGAGUACGACCGCCAGGUUGAAACUC
rnacentral:rRNA from 1 species